rnacentral:rRNA from 1 species
UACGUAGGGCGCUAGCGUUGUUCGGAAUUACUGGGCGUAAAGCGCGCGUAGGCGGCCUUGCAAGUUAGAGGUGAAAGCCCGGAGCUCAACUCCGGAACUGCCUUUAAAACUGCAUAGCUUGAAUCCGGGAGAGGUGAGUGGAAUUCCGAGUGUAGAGGUGAAAUUCGUAGAUAUUCGGAAGAACACCAGUGGCGAAGGCGGCUCACUGGACCGGUAUUGACGCUGAGGUGCGAAAGCGUGGGGAGCAAACAGG